rnacentral:rRNA from 1 species
CCCUUAGAUGUUCUGGGCUGCACGCGCGCUACACUGAUGCGUUCAACGAGUUUACGGCCUUGCCCGAUAGGGUUGGGUAAUCUUCUUAAAACGCAUCGUGAUGGGGAUAGAUUAUUGCAAUUAUUAAUUUUCAACGAGGAAUUCCUAGUAAGUGCGAGUCAUCAGCUCGUACUGAUUACGUCCCUGCCCUUUGUACACACCGCCCGUCGCACCUACCGAUUGGAUGGUCCGGUGAAGCCUCGGGAUUGUGGUUCUUGCCGCUUUAUUGUGGCGUGACCGCGAGAACUUGUCUAAACCUUAUCAUCUAGAGGAAGGUGAAGUCGUAACA